rnacentral:rRNA from 1 species
GAUGAACGCUGGCGGCGUGCCUAAUACAUGCAAGUCGAGCGAACGGACGAGAAGCUUGCUUCUCUGAUGUUAGCGGCGGACGGGUGAGUAACACGUGGAUAACCUACCUAUAAGACUGGGAUAACUUCGGGAAACCGGAGCUAAUACCGGAUAAUAUUUUGAACCGCAUGGUUCAAAAGUGAAAGACGGUCUUGCUGUCACUUAUAGAUGGAUCCGCGCUGCAUUAGCUAGUUGGUAAGGUAACGGCUUACCAAGGCAACGAUGCAUAGCCGACCUGAGAGGGUGAUCGGCCACACUGGAACUGAGACACGGUCCAGACUCCUACGGGAGGCAGCAGUAGGGAAUCUUCCGCAAUGGGCGAAAGCCUGACGGAGCAACGCCGCGUGAGUGAUGAAGGUCUUCGGAUCGUAAAACUCUGUUAUUAGGGAAGAACAUAUGUGUAAGUAACUGUGCACAUCUUGACGGUACCUAAUCAGAAAGCCACGGCUAACUACGUGCCAGCAGCCGCGGUAAUACGUAGGUGGCAAGCGUUAUCCGGAAUUAUUGGGCGUAGAGCGCGCGUAGGCGGUUUUUUAAGUCUGAUGUGAAAGCCCACGGCUCAACCGUGGAGGGUCAUUGGAAACUGGAAAACUUGAGUGCAGAAGAGGAAAGUGGAAUUCCAUGUGUAGCGGUGAAAUGCGCAGAGAUAUGGAGGAACACCAGUGGCGAAGGCGACUUUCUGGUCUGUAACUGACGCUGAUGUGCGAAAGCGUGGGGAUCAAACAGGAUUAGAUACCCUGGUAGUCCACGCCGUAAACGAUGAGUGCUAAGUGUUAGGGGGUUUCCGCCCCUUAGUGCUGCAGCUAACGCAUUAAGCACUCCGCCUGGGGAGUACGACCGCAAGGUUGAAACUCAAAGGAAUUGACGGGGACCCGCACAAGCGGUGGAGCAUGUGGUUUAAUUCGAAGCAACGCGAAGAACCUUACCAAAUCUUGACAUCCUUUGACAACUCUAGAGAUAGAGCCUUCCCCUUCGGGGGACAAAGUGACAGGUGGUGCAUGGUUGUCGUCAGCUCGUGUCGUGAGAUGUUGGGUUAAGUCCCGCAACGAGCGCAACCCUUAAGCUUAGUUGCCAUCAUUAAGUUGGGCACUCUAAGUUGACUGCCGGUGACAAACCGGAGGAUGGUGGGGAUGACGUCAAAUCAUCAUGCCCCUUAUGAUUUGGGCUACACACGUGCUACAAUGGACAAUACAAAGGGCAGCGAAACCGCGAGGUCAAGCAAAUCCCAUAAAGUUGUUCUCAGUUCGGAUUGUAGUCUGCAACUCGACUACAUGAAGCUGGAAUCGCUAGUAAUCGUAGAUCAGCAUGCUACGGUGAAUACGUUCCCGGGUCU